CAUAUGGUCGACCUGCAGGCGGCCGCGAAUUCACUAGUGAUUAGAGUUUGAUCAUGGCUCAGAACGAACGCUUUCGGUAUGCUUAACACAUGCAAGUCGAACGGAUUUAUUUAGAGCUUGCUUUAAAUAAAUUAGUGGCAGACGGGUGAGUAACACGUGGGAAUCUGCCCAUCAGUACGGAAUAACAUUUAGAAAUAAUUGCUAAUACCGUAUAUUCUCUUUGGAGGAAAGAUUUAUCGCUGAUGGAUGAGCCCGCGCCAGAUUAGGUAGUUGGUAGGGUAAUGGCCUACCAAGCCAAUGAUCUGUAGCUGGUUUGAGAGAAUGAUCAGCCACACUGGGACUGAGACACGGCCCAGACUCCUACGGGAGGCAGCAGUGGGGAAUAUUGGACAAUGGGCGAAAGCCUGAUCCAGCAAUACCGAGUGGGUGAUGAAGGCCUUAGGGUUGUAAAGCCCUUUUCAGCAGGGAAGAUAAUGACGGUACCUGACCAAGAAAGCCCCGGCUAACUCCGUGCCAGCAGCCGCGGUAAUACAAUCGAAUUCCCGCGGCCGCCAUGGCGCCCGGGAGCAUGCGAC
rnacentral:rRNA from 1 species